AACGAACGCUGGCGGCGUGCCUAACACAUGCAAGUCGUGCGAGAAAGUUCCUUCGGGAGCGAGUAAAGCGGCGCACGGGUGAGUAACACGUAGGUAACCUGCCCCCCAGUCUGGAACAACUAGAGGAAACUCUAGCUAAUGCCGGAUGAGACCACGAUCCCUUCGGGGGUUGCGGCCAAAGAUGGCCUCUACUUGUAAGCUAUCGCUGAGGGAUGGGCCUGCGGGCCAUUAGCUUGUUGGUGAGGUAACGGCUCACCAAGGCUGUGAUGGCUAGCUGGUCUGAGAGGAUGACCAGCCACACUGGGACUGAGACACGGCCCAGACUCCUACGGAGGCAGCAGUGGGAUAUUGCGCAAUGGGCGAAAGCCUGACGCAGCGACGCGCGUGGGUGA
rnacentral:rRNA from 1 species